UAGAGCUCACCAGCUCCUCCCCCGAUGAAUAGUUAAAAAAAAACCAAUCGGAUCCUGCAGAGAUGGCUGGUGGAGAGAGCGAAGGGCUUCCUUGGAGGAGUUGUGCUGGUGGACGCAAUAUGAUACCUUUUUUUUUUUUUUUUUGUCAAUUAGUCGAACAAAUAUAAGGGUUGAGAGUUGGAGGGAGUAAGCCCAAAUCACGGACUCAGUAAAGUCUCCUAGUCCCGGUUUGCCGGCCAUGAUAGCUGAGCAGAGUGUUGUGAUGGGCAUGUUUGUGUGAGGAGUUGCCGGUGUCACCCAAAGACAUUUGUGAGGGCUCAGAAUAGCGAGCGCUGAAGUUUCUAAAACACAUUCUCAUUAAAUCAGUCAAGGGAGGAAGGAAGUGUUGAUGGGAAGCUGCAAGAAAGGGAGAAACAAGUUCUUGCCCUGAUACAGGAUCUUGCCCUGAGCUCAUGAUAUUUCCCAGCCUGACCUCAAACUCACGGCAGUCCCCCUGCCUCAGCCUCCUGAGCACUGGAAUUACAGGCAUUACCAUCGUAUCAUGCCUGGCGCUUAUGCCGCUGAGCUAUAUCCUCAGCCCCUGUGUCAUUUGUUUUUUGAGACAAAGUCUUGCAUCGUCGUUCAGGCUGGCCUUGAGCUCACUGUACACCCCAGGCUGGCCUGGAACUCGCCGUGACCCUCCUGCCUCAGCCUCCUGAGCGCUGGGAUGACAGACAUGCACCGCCAUGGAGCACCGACCAGCACAGAAACAGCCUCUCCAAGUUCCGAUGUCCAGACCCUGGACCAUAACGAAGUGAAGAAGAAACCAGGCUCGCAGGCGGGGCCCCGGCACCCAAGGUCCUGAAGGGAGCGUCGAAGCCCAGGGGAGAACAGAGAGACCUCAGCAGGAGCCCUGCCUCGCUGCGCUGCCCGGGGGCAGCUGGAACCUGCAGGUACUCGGCGACUGCUGGCAGCCCCACAGGCCUCCCUGGGAAUGCAGCGGACUGCAGUGCCGGGGCGUUGUGUGGGUUCGGAGGUCCCCCAGGAGAGGGCGAUUGUCCAGUUGCCAUCUUGAAAAGAGGCCAGCUAAGGUCAGACCUCAGAGCAACUUCCUGCUCCAUCCGGGGCUGCAGUGUCAACAUGAGGGGGAGCAGCUUCAGGCCAGCAGCAGGCACGCGGGAUGCUGCAGGCUGGACACAUCUAACUCUCUCCCCUCUUCUGUGCCUCUGUUUCCCCCCAUAAUCCCUUUUAAGUUUCGUCCCACGACAGUAAACCACCGUGGUGAGGGCAUCUUGGCUGUAUCCACCUUUCUGGUUGGUUUUAGAUUUUUCUGUCUAGCCCCAAAUCUAGUUCAAACAGCUCAGGGUGGCAAAUUGCCACUCACUACACCUUGUCAUUUGCUAGACUCUAUUUGAUGCUGUUGGUAUUGCUGGUUGUGCCACUUUACCCAAGGUUAUGGGCUGGGGAUUUAGCUGGGCUGGGGAUUUAGCUCAGCCACAUAAGCACUUGCCAUGCAAGCAGGCCGUUGUGAGUUCAAUCCCCGGUACCGAUAAAAAACAAAACCAAACCGAGGUUAUGGAAUUGUUCUACUCAGUGUUUUUUUUUUUUUCCCUUAGAGACAGGGUCUCACUGUGUAUUUCAGGCCGGCCUGAACUCAGUAUGUAGCCCAGGCUGGCCUUGAACUCAUGGCAGUCCUCCUGCCUCAGCCUCCCAAGUGCUGGGAUGACAGUCCUGUGUCACCACGUCCAGCUACAUAGGCAGCAAGCUCUCAUCCCCGGUAAACUGAGGAGACAGGAUUUUGAAAGACUCAAAACCAGGAGCCAACUACACCUGGAAAACACCUCAAGUAGUCAUUUCCUAGGGAUUCAAAAUCCUAGCAAUAAAGCUCCUGCCAUUAGCAGUUUACGAGCAUGAACCCAGAAAUUAAACAAGAAAACAGAAAAUUAGCACUUCAGCAAGAUGGAAUCAAUGAAACAGGUCCAAACAUAUCCAGGGUAUUAAAAAUUCACUGAAAGUACCUGCUGAAUGAGCCAGGGUGAGCACAGAAUCUCAGAUAUAGAGACAAGAUUGUGGUUACUAAGCAUUAAAGAGCAGUUCAGAGCCAGGUGUGGUGGCUCACGCCUGUAAUCUAGCACUCGGGAGGCUGAGGCAGGAGGAUCGCUGCGAGUUCGAGACCAGCCUGGGCUACACAGCGAGACCCUGUCUCAAAAAGACAAAAGAAAAAAAAAAUGGUGCUGGAAGAACUAGCUUUGCACAUGCCAGAGAUUGAUACUGGACCCAAAUCUUUUCACCACGCACUAAAGUGAAAUCAAAAUGAAUCAAAAAUCUAAAUGCUAAACAAAAACUAAAUCUUCUGGAAGAUACAAUAAGGGGAACUGUUGACGGCGUUGGUGUAGGCAAAGAUUCUGAACAAAACUAGUUUCCCAGCAGUUAUCACAAGGAGUCAACAACUGGGAUCUCAUCUUAUUAAAAACUUUUGCACAGCAAAAGAAAUCACCCACAGAAUGAACAGAAAAUCCUCAGUGUGGGUAGAAGAUUUUCCAGCUCUUACUCAGCCAAGGACUAAUAUCUAGAAUGUAUUUUUAAAAACUUUAAAAAAUCAGACCCUCCCCCUAAUUCAAAGGCCCAAUCCAAACGUGGGUGUCGAAGAUGAACAAACACUUCUUGGUUGGAGAAAUAAAUAUGGCAAAUAAAUAUAUGAAAAAAUGCUCAGCGUCCCGGGUCACUUGACAGAUGCAAAUUAAAACGCUGAGAUUCCAUCUCAUCCCAGAGACAUGGAUUGGUAUGAAGAAAUCAACCAACAACCAGUGCUGGCGAGGUUGUGGGGAAAGGGAACCCCUCUUCACUGUUGGUGGGAGUGUUGACUGGCACUUCGGUGUCUUCCUGAUGAAUUAAAAGUAUCGCCACAGUGAUAUACGUGCACCGUUUAUAGCAGCAUAGUUACAACAGCUAAAUGUUAGAAACAACUGGAAUGCCCAUCAGCUGAUGAACCAAUAAAGAUGUAUUUUUUUUAAUCGGUACUGGGGAUCGAAUUCAUGACUGCCUGCUUACAAGGCAGGUGCUUAUGCCGCUGAGCUAAACCCCCAGCCCCAAGAUGUAUUUUUUUAUAAGGAAGGAGACAUUUCUAGCUAAAGAGAUGCACCUUGAGACCAUCCUCUUAAGUGAAAUGAAACAAACACACCUUUAAGUAUCACACUGUGUACAAAAUUUACUGUGUGUAUAUAAGGGCCAACGUGUGUGACAGAUAUUAAGAAACAGGAAGAAAAUGUUCAAAUGGGAAGGGAACUGGGGAGCAGGGAGGGGAAAGUGCGUGACAAGUAAAUAGGAAAAAUGGAAAUAAAGCAAAUUUAAAUAAAGAGGCAAGGGCGUGGAAGGGAAGAUAUUACACCAUGUAUAGGUAUAGAUUCCCUGUGAUGAAUGCUAUCAGUACGUGUAUCUAAAAUGGACCAAAAAAUACACUAGAGCAGGGGUUGGCCAGCUAUUGACUGUGAGCUCAGACAAACCCCUACUGGUUUUGUUUUUAAAUAAAGUUUUAUUGAAAAAAUAAUGUGAA